rnacentral:rRNA from 1 species
ACACCCUGCGGGAGGCAGCAGUGGGAAUAUUGGACAAUGGGCGCAAGCCUGAUCCAGCCAUGCCGCGUGAGUGAUGAAGGCCCUAGGGUUGUAAAGCUCUUUCACCGGUGAAGAUAAUGACGGUAACCGGAGAAGAAGCCCCGGCUAACUUCGUGCCAGCAGCCGCGGUAAUACGAAGGGGGCUAGCGUUGUUCGGAUUUACUGUGCGUAAAGCGCACGUAGGCGGACUAUUAAGUCAGGGGUGAAAUCCCGGGGCUCAACCCCGGAACUGCCUUUGAUACUGGUAGUCUUGAGUUCGAGAGAGGUGAGUGGAAUUCCGAGUGUAGAGGUGAAAUUCGUAGAUAUUCGGAGGAACACCAGUGGCGAAGGCGGCUCACUGGCUCGAUACUGACGCUGAGGUGCGAAAGCGUGGGGAGCAAACAGGAUUAGAAACCCUAGUAGUCCCAUG